GUAACCAGAGCGUUCGAGAGAGAUAGGGAAAGAGAGAGAGAGCCACGCCACGCUACGCUCUCUUGGCAUUCACAUUCACCCUAUCUACAUAAUCGCACCUCUCGCUCGCUCUGCCGCUGAUCGACGUGGCGUGCAUAUUUCGAUUGCAUUUUGAUAUAGAGUUUUAGUAUUGGUUUUUGUAGCUUUUUCUGCGUUCUUAGAUUAGUUUAGGCGCCGCCACUGUCACCGACUCUCUCUCUCUCUCUCUCGCUCGCUCUCGAUCCCAGUCUCUGUCGCACAGUCGGGUGACAAAAGUUGCUCGGUGUCAGGCCCGAGAGACAUGAUCAGCAUCACAGCCCAACCCAUCCCACUUUUCGGUCUUCGUGUCGCGUCUCAGCUGUUGCUCUUCAUCUUCACCUUCGUCUCGUCUCGUCUUUAUCUUUAUACUACUGUUAUCGCAUCAUUGUAGUUGAGGGGGCUUUUGCUUUAAUAAGUAAGGGUUCCGUAUUAGCCCACGCAUUUCUUUCAGGCCGUGUCAAAUCUAAAUCAAUUUGUCCAACGGAUGAGGGUCUUGGCGAAAAUGUAAUGGCUCUCGACGGACCAUUGUCAACCCACAUGAUAUCUGUCGUACCCACAUCAAAACUAUCCGAGGCAAACGGAAACCCCUGAAUCUGAAUCUGUAUCUGAAUCUGAAUGCAGCCAACUCUACACAGAAAUGCAGCAGUCUGGUUUUGGAACUGGAACCUCGUAUCGCUGCGUUUGUUGGGCACCUUCUAUGGCAAAGAAAGUGUAUCUGUAUAUUUUGAACACCAUACGCAACGCCACCUGUCGGUUGGGGCGUGUGGGUGUGGGCGUAACUUAAUUUAACGGUUUAGCGGUAAAUGUUUUCCUCUUUCGUUCGCCAUUCUCCAUCCAUUCGCCGCCCCUUUGGUACACUUUCUUAGCGGGUCUAAUGGCGCACGAAGAAGAACAAAUUUGUUUUCUGGCGCUUAUGGGGAGCAGAGCGGAGCGAGUGGGAGAUUGAUUAGGAGCGGAGGAGAUUGUGGGCUGGAUCCAUUGUUGUUGCCGGCCAGUCGCGCGACCAACUAGCAUAUCAGUUGCCAUUCCGUUUCUGCUCCCCCUCUUUCUUCUACACCCCUAUACGUGUAUUCCUCCUCCUCUUCACCAAUGUUAAGUUCAAUGACAGAAUUUGAAACCCCCCGUGCCUUCACUCCUGAUUUUGCUCAUGAAUCUUUGGACAGGGCUUAAUCAGCCAGCCUUUGUUAUCAGUAGUAGUAUACAUAGUAUGUAUGAUGGCCUAGUUUCUUCGUCUUUUAUUUUUACUUUAUUUUUUUGGCAGAUGGGGAAACUGGAAUAUGACCUGAGGAAAGGUUAAUUAAUUAGCAAUUUUGUUGAAAAUAAAGCUCGGUUCGGGGGGGGGCCUUGGAAUACCACUUCACUUCAAUAUAGUUCCAUAAGAUGAGAUAUUUUUCUGUAGAUUUUAAUCGAUUCUUUGG
rnacentral:sRNA from 1 species